CAAGCACCUGGAAUAAACCAGCAUUUAGGAGAUGAUUGCCUCUAAUUUCCAAGGAGCUUAAAAAGUGCCAGGGACUGUGAAGGGAAGGUGAGAAUGAGCAGUCCAGUCUUCAUGUCGUCAUCCGUCCUCACUGCUCUACGGGGAAGCUGCCAUCCCUUCUGCCCUGGUCUUGGUCCAUGUUCUUCAGUGGAGAAGCAAGACUUCCCCAGGUCCUGCUCCAUCUUAGAGACUGUUCCCUUCCUCCCUGGAAGUUCUCUGCUUCUUUAUUAUUCCAGGCAUUGUCUGGGCUUUUUUG
rnacentral:lncRNA from 10 species